rnacentral:rRNA from 1 species
ACGGGAGGCAGCAGUGAGGAAUAUUGGUCAAUGGGCGAGAGCCUGAACCAGCCAAGUCGCGUGAAGGAUGAAGGUUCUAUGGAUUGUAAACUUCUUUUGUCUGAGGGUAAAGUGAGAGAUGCGUCUCUUAUUGCAAGUAUCAGACGAAUAAGCAUCGGCUAACUCCGUGCCAGCAGCCGCGGUAAUACGGAGGAUGCGAGCGUUAUCCGGAUUUAUUGGGUUUAAAGGGUGCGUAGGCGGGAUGUUAAGUCAGCGGUGAAAGUUUGCGGCUCAACCGUAAAAUUGCCGUUGAAACUGGCGUUCUUGAGUGUAAACGAGGUAGGCGGAAUGUGACGUGUAGCGGUGAAAUGCUUAGAUAUGUCACAGAACCUCGAUUGCGAAGGCAGCUUACCAGCAUACAACUGACGCUGAGGCACGAAAGCGUGGGUAUCAAACAGGAUUAGACACCCUGGUA